UAGUUGAACAUGUGCGCAAACAGUGUUUUUGGAGAUACGAACCUGCUACUGUAGUGUCAGUUCGAGCAUCAGUCUGCAUCGAAACAGGUGAGCGAACAGAGCCUGCAACCGCCGUGAGCGGCAUACCAGUGUUUAUUGGUAACCGGUAGGCUACUCGGGAGCCCUCAGCGGAUGUCCACUGUCACCGUGUGUACGUGAUGAGGGACUACGGGUUUGAAACACACCUCUGGGGUGGGGGAUCUGCUGGUAGCCAGCACCAAUCUGAGAAGGGUAGAAGGAGGGGGCGGGAAGGUUAGUUUGAAGAGGGCAGGCUUUCCACGAUGACAGCGCUUUCCCUCUCAUCAUUUCCCCGUAACAAAAAAAAAACACUUCAAAAUCCAGUGGAAUAAGAAUUGCCGGAGAAAUCAGUUGGGCCAAAACAGCGCCGAUUGACGGAAAGAAAAUCAAAAGUCGGAAGAAAAUAAGAGCAAGAAGAAACGUUGUUUUCUGGACUCCUCCUCAUCACACGUGUCAGUGUUUCCCUCUCUGCUCUCGCCAAAGAGAGAGUAAACACUGCUUUGAAGUGGAUUAUAUAGCCCAAGGAGCAGACUUAGACCAGCCCGCCC
rnacentral:lncRNA from 13 species